rnacentral:rRNA from 1 species
CAGUAGCCGCGGGAAAACGGAGGAUCCAAGCGUUAUCCGGAAUCAUUGGGUUUAAAGGGUCCGUAGGCGGUCUUGUAAGUCAGUGGUGAAAGCCCAUCGCUCAACGGUGGAACGGCCAUUGAUACUGCAGGACUUGAAUUAUUGGGAAGUAACUAGAAUAUGUAGUGUAGCGGUGAAAUGCUUAGAGAUUACAUGGAAUACCAAUUGCGAAGGCAGGUUACUACCAAUUGAUUGACGCUGAUGGACGAAAGCGUGGGUAGCGAACAGGAUUAGAUACCCGCGUAGUCCCUGUCUCUUAUAC